ACCAUUCAGUUGGGCACUCUAAGGAGACUGCCGGUGGUUAAACCGGAGGAAGUGGGGAUGACGUCAAGUCCUCAUGGCCCUUAUAUCCAGGGCUACACACGUGCUACAAUGGCCGGUACAAAGGGUCGCAAUACCGCGAGGUGGAGCUAAUCCCAAAAAGCCGGUCUCAGUUCGGAUUGGAGUCUGCAACUCGACUCCAUGAAGUCGGAAUCGCUAGUAAUCGCGUAUCAGCGUGACGCGGUGAAUACGUUCCCGGGCCUU
rnacentral:rRNA from 1 species